AACAAGGUCUCCGUUGGUGAACCAGCGGAGGGAUCAUUACUGAGUUGUAAAACUCCCAAACCUCUGUGAACAUACCUCUUGUUGCCUCGGCGUUCUACCUGUAGAACGCCGAAGGUCAUCCAAACUCUUGUUAUACACCAGUAAUCUGAGCGUCUUAUCAAAUAAGUCAAAACUUUCAACAACGGAUCUCUUGGUUCUGGCAUCGAUGAAGAACGCAGCGAAAUGCGAUAAGUAAUGUGAAUUGCAGAAUUCAGUGAAUCAUCGAAUCUUUGAACGCACAUUGCGCCCAUUAGUAUUCUAGUGGGCAUGCCUGUUCGAGCGUCAUUUCAACCCUUAAGCUAGUCUUAGUGUUGGGAGACUACUCCGGCGAACCUACCCUAUACCUACCCUGUGGCUACCCUGUAGCGUUCUCAGAGUGGCGGGCCAGGUUACCCUGUAGCUCCUCAAAGUCAGUGGCGGAGACGCGGUGUCCUCUGAGCGUAGUAACUACAUGUCUCGCUUUGGUAGGCUCCUCGGCCCCUGCCGUAAAACUACUUAUCUCAAUGGUUGACCUCGGAUCANGUANGAAUACCCGCUGAACUUAAGCAUA
rnacentral:rRNA from 1 species